AGGGCUGUAGCUCAGUGGCAAAGCAUCUGCCUUACAUCCGGAAGGUGACAGGUUCAAUCCCUUGCAGCUCCA